UUUAAGUGUAACCAUGAGUUUUCGCGCUUAAUUUUGAUCGUUCGUCUUAUUUAAUUUUUUUAUAAUUAGUAUUUUUGUUGUUGUUAUGAGAUGAUAAAACAUAAUAGUACUUAACUCGUGACUUAUGUUUUUGUUUCUUUUUUCAAAUAAGACGGAUGAUCAAAAUUGGACACGAAAAACCAUAACUGCACUUAAA
rfam:Oryza nivara chromosome 12, whole genome shotgun sequence.